AUUGAACGCUGGCGGCAUGCCUUACACAUGCAAGUCGAACGGUAACAGGUCUUCGGAUGCUGACGAGUGGCGAACGGGUGAGUAAUACAUCGGAACGUGCCUAGUAGUGGGGGAUAACUACUCGAAAGAGUGGCUAAUACCGCAUGAGAUCUACGGAUGAAAGCAGGGGAUCGAAAGACCUUGUGCUACUAGAGCGGCCGAUGGCAGAUUAGGUAGUUGGUGGGAUAAAAGCGUACCAAGCCGACGAUCUGUAGCUGGUCUGAGAGGACGAUCAGCCACACUGGGACUGAGACACGGCCCAGACUCCUACGGGAGGCAGCAGUGGGGAAUUUUGGACAAUGGGCGCAAGCCUGAUCCAGCAAUGCCGCGUGCAGGAUGAAGGCCUUCGGGUUGUAAACUGCUUUUGAACGGGACGAAAAGCCCUGGGUUAAUACCCUGGGGUCAUGACGGUACCGUAAGAAUAAGCACCGGCUAACUACGUGCCAGCCGCCGCAGUAAAAC
rnacentral:rRNA from 1 species